GACGAACGCUGGCGGCGUGCUUAACACAUGCAAGUCGAACGAGAUCCAAUGUGUAGCAAUACACCGGAAGAUCUAGUGGCGAACGGGUGAGGAACACGUGAGAAACGUACCCCAGACUUUGGGAUAACAGUCCGAAAGGACUGCUAAUACCAAAUAACGUCGGAAGUCCGCAUGGACAUCUGACGAAAGGGAUUCCGGUUUGGGAGCGUCUCGCGGACCUAUCAGCUAGUUGGAGGGGUAACGGCCCACCAAGGCAACGACGGGUAGCUGGUCUGAGAGGAUGGUCAGCCACACUGGGACUGAGACACGGCCCAGACUCCUACGGGAGGCAGCAGUGGGGAAUCUUGCGCAAUGGGCGAAAGCCUGACGCAGCAACGCCGCGUGCGGGAAGAAGGCUUUCGGGCUGUAAACCGCUUUCAGUAGGAACGAAACUGACGGUACCUACAGAAGAAGGAGCGGCCAACUAUGU
rnacentral:rRNA from 1 species